rnacentral:lncRNA from 1 species
AUAAAAAACAACAGCAGAGGGUCACCAACAGGUCUUCAAUGUAGCGAGAAAUUCCCGCACCCGGAGGCGUCCUUCAGCUGGCCCCUAAACAAAUAUAUACUAGUCCAGUGAUAAUGAACGCCAUACUAAUUUCCAAAUUGUACACAAGAAACUAAAAUUAAAAUAAUACAUGACUAACAAAGGCCAGAGGCUCCUGACUUGGGACAGGCGCAAAAAUGCGGCGGGGUUAAACAUGUUUGUGAGAUCUCAACCCUCCCCCUAUACCUCUAACCAAUGUAGAAAGGUAAACGCAUAACAAUACGCAC